UCAACGAUUUGCCACUCUGCUUCAACAGCAU
rnacentral:piRNA from 1 species